rnacentral:rRNA from 1 species
CCCUGAAGACCCCUGGCAGAUUACCAGGUUGAUAGGCGGGGCGUGUAAGCGCUGUGAGGCGUUUAGCUAACCCGUACUAAUCGGUCGUUCGGCUUGACCAU